CCUACGGGAGGCAGCAGUGGGGAAUAUUGGACAAUGGGGGAAACCCUGAUCCAGCGACGCCGCGUGAGUGAAGAAGUAUUUCGGUACGUAAAGCUCUAUCAGCAGGAAAGAAAAUGACGGUACCUGACUAAUAAGCCACGGCUAACUACGUGCCAGCAGCCGCGGUAAUACGUAGGGGGCAAGCGUUAUCCGGAUUUACUGGGUGUAAAGGGAGCGUAGACGGCAGCGCAAGUCUGGGGUGAAAUGCCGGGGGCCAACCCCGGAACUGCUCUGGAAACUGUGAAGCUGGAGUGCAGGAGAGGUAAGCGGAAUUCCUGGUGUAGCGGUGAAAUGCGUAGAUAUCAGGAGGAACACCGGCGGCGAAGGCGGCUUACUGGACUGUAACUGACGUUGAGGCUCGAAGGCGUGGGGAGCAAACAGGAUUAGAUACCCUUGUAGUC
rnacentral:rRNA from 1 species